rnacentral:rRNA from 1 species
CAGUAGCCGCGGGAAUACGUAAGUGGCAAGCGUUGUCCGGAAUUAUUGGGCGUAAAGGGCUCGCAGGCGGUUUCUUAAGUCUGAUGUGAAAGCCCCCGGCUCAACCGGGGAGGGCCAUUGGAAACUGGGAAACUUGAGUGCAGAAGAGGAGAGUGGAAUCCCACGUGUAGCGGUGAAAUGCGUAGAGAUGUGGAGGAACACCAGUGGCGAAGGCGACUCUCUGGUCUGUAACUGACGCUGAGGAGCGAAAGCGUGGGGAGCGAACAGGAUUAGAUACCCCUGUAGUCCCUGUCUCUUAUAC